GUGAGCAUGCCUGUCGGGA
rnacentral:siRNA from 1 species